rnacentral:snoRNA from 12 species
UGGUCAGGUGGAUAAUCCUUACCUGUUCCUCCUUCGGGAAGGCAGAUAGAACAUGAUGAUUGGAGUUCGCGUGAUACGUGAUUAGCGUCUCUGCGUCAUCGGGACUUGCAACACCCUGCUUGCUCCUAUCUGAU